CGGGUGAGUAACACGUGUGCAACCUGCCGUCUACUCUUGGACAGCCUUCUGAAAGGAAGAUUAAUACAAGAUGGCAUCAUGAGUCCGCAUGUUCACAUGAUUAAAGGUAUUCCGGUAGACGAUGGGGAUGCGUUCCAUUAGAUAGUAGGCGGGGUAACGGCCCACCUAGUCUUCGAUGGAUAGGGGUUCUGAGAGGAAGGUCCCCCACAUUGGAACUGAGACACGGUCCAA
rnacentral:rRNA from 1 species